GUGCCAGCAGCCGCGGUAAUACGUAGGGUCCAAGCGUUAAUCGGAAUUACUGGGCGUAAAGCGUGCGCAGGCGGUUGUGCAAGACCGAUGUGAGAUCCCCGGGCUUAACCUGGGAAUUGCAUUGGUGACUGCACGGCUAGAGUGUGUCAGAGGGGGGUAGAAUUCCACGUGUAGCAGUGAAAUGCGUAGAGAUGUGGAGGAAUACCGAUGGCGAAGGCAGCCCCCUGGGAUAACACUGACGCUCAUGCACGAAAGCGUGGGGAGCAAACAGGAUUAGAUACCCUGGUAGUCCACGCCCUAAACGAUGUCAACUAGUUGUUGGGGAUUCAUUUCCUUAGUAACGUAGCUAACGCGUGAAGUUGACCGCCUGGGGAGUACGGUCGCAAGAUUAAAACUCAAAGAAAUUGACGGGA
rnacentral:rRNA from 1 species